rnacentral:rRNA from 1 species
UAGGGAAUCUUCCGCAAUGGGCGAAAGCCUGACGGAGCAACGCCGCGUGUGUGAUGAAGGUCUUCGGAUCGUAAAACUCUGUUAUUAGGGAAGAACAAAUGUGUAAGUAACUAUGCACGUCUUGACGGUACCUAAUCAGAAAGCCACGGCUAACUACGUGCCAGCAGCCGCGGUAAUACGUAGGUGGCAAGCGUUAUCCGGAAUUAUUGGGCGUAAAGCGCGCGUAGGCGGUUUUUUAAGUCUGAUGUGAAAGCCCACGGCUCAACCGUGGAGGGUCAUUGGAAACUGGAAAACUUGAGUGCAGAAGAGGAAAGUGGAAUUCCAUGUGUAGCGGUGAAAUGCGCAGAGAUAUGGAGGAACACCAGUGGCGAAGGCGACUUUCUGGUCUGUAACUGACGCUGAUGUGCAAAAGCGUGGGGAUCAAACAGG